CCUGCGGGUGGCAGCAGUGGGGAAUAUUGGACAAUGGGCGAAAGCCUGAUCCAGCCAUGCCGCGUGUGUGAAGAAGGCCUUCGGGUUGUAAAGCACUUUCAGUGGGGAAGAAAGCCUUGGGGCUAAUACCCUCGAGGAAGGACAUCACCCACAGAAGAAGCACCGGCUAACUCCGUGCCAGCAGCCGCGGUAAUACGGAGGGUGCGAGCGUUAAUCGGAAUUACUGGGCGUAAAGCGCGCGUAGGCGGUCUGAUAAGCCGGUUGUGAAAGCCCCGGGCUCAACCUGGGAACGGCAUCCGGAACUGUCAGGCUAGAGUGCAGGAGAGGAAGGUAGAAUUCCCGGUGUAGCGGUGAAAUGCGUAGAGAUCGGGAGGAAUACCAGUGGCGAAGGCGGCCUUCUGGACUGACACUGACGCUGAGGUGCGAAAGCGUGGGUAGCAAACAGGAUUAGAUACCCGUGUAGUC
rnacentral:rRNA from 1 species